rnacentral:rRNA from 1 species
AUUGAACGCUGGCGGAAUGCUUUACACAUGCAAGUCGAACGGCAGCACGGACUUCGGUCUGGUGGCGAGUGGCGAACGGGUGAGUAAUACAUCGGAACGUGCCCAGUCGUGGGGGAUAACGUAGCGAAAGCUACGCUAAUACCGCAUACGAUCUAAGGAUGAAAGCGGGGGAUCGCAAGACCUCGCGCGAUUGGAUCGGCCGAUGGCAGAUCAGGUAGUUGGUGGGGUAAAGGCCUACCAAGCCGACGAUCUGUAGCUGGUCUGAGAGGACGACCAGCCACACUGGGACUGAGACACGGCCCAGACUCCUACGGGAGGCAGCAGUGGGGAAUUUUGGACAAUGGGCGCAAGCCUGAUCCAGCCAUUCCGCGUGCAGGAUGAAGGCCCUCGGGUUGUAAACUGCUUUUGUACGGAACGAAAAGGCUCUGGUUAAUACCCGGGGCUCAUGACGGUACCGUAAGAAUAAGCACCGGCUAACUACGUGCCAGCAGCCGCCGUAA